rnacentral:tRNA from 1 species
CAAGGAGUAGUUUAAUUAAGAAUUCUAGCUUUGGGAGCUAGUGGUAGGGGUUAAAAUCCCCUUUCUUUGA